CAUGGAAUCCAUCUUCAAAAGGUGAACUAUUCUUGUUUUUCUUUUAUACUAUUGCUUGCCAUUAAGUGCAGUACGGAUGCUUUAGUAGGUGCUGUUUUUACCAAAAAAUUAAGCUGUUUCACAAAUGAACUUUUGAGCACCCAUAUUUUCUUCUAAAUGCUAUGGUGUAAAAGACAGUGCAAAAGGGGAAAGAAAGCCAAAGAAUGCAGUAGAAUUCCUUCAUUAACAUGAAUUAACUUGGCUUACAUUUUGCAGGUCUUUGCUUGGGCAUCAUGG
rnacentral:misc_RNA from 1 species